rnacentral:rRNA from 1 species
CCCUGCCAUUUGUACACACCGCCCGUCGCUCCUACCGUUGGACUUGAAGGUGAGCCUGGCAGAUGAUAAGAUGGUUCGUCCAUCAACUCAGAAACCAUGCAAACCUUUUUGUCUGUAGGAAGGAGAAGUCGUAACAAGGUUUUCGUAGGU